rnacentral:rRNA from 1 species
CCUACGGGUGGCAGCAGUGGGGAAUAUUGCACAAUGGGCGCAAGCCUGAUGCAGCCAUGCCGCGUGUGUGAAGAAGGCCUUCGGGUUGUAAAGCACUUUCAGCGGGGAGGAAGGCGGUGAGGUUAAUAACCUCAUCGAUUGACGUUACCCGCAGAAGAAGCACCGGCUAACUCCGUGCCAGCAGCCGCGGUAAUACGGAGGGUGCAAGCGUUAAUCGGAAUUACUGGGCGUAAAGCGCACGCAGGCGGUCUGUCAAGUCGGAUGUGAAAUCCCCGGGCUCAACCUGGGAACUGCAUUCGAAACUGGCAGGCUAGAGUCUUGUAGAGGGGGGGUAGAAUUCCAGGUGUAGCGGUGAAAUGCGUAGAGAUCUGGAGGAAUACCGGUGGCGAAGGCGGCCCCCUGGACAAAGACUGACGCUCAGGUGCGAAAGCGUGGGGAGCAAACAGGAUUAGAUACCCCGGUAGUC